AACUAAUAAAUCGCCAUUCUAUUCUUCAGGGGGGCUCCUGACUUCAACCAACAAAUCGCAUUCUGUUCUUCAGGGGGGCUCCUGACUUCAACCAAUAAAUCGACAUUCUGUUCUUCAGGGAGGCUCCUGACUUUAACCAAUAAAUCGCCAUUCUAUUCUUCAGGGGGGCUCCUGACUUCAACAACUUUUCAAAAAAUGCCAUUCCUUUCUUUGGAUGGCGAGAUUUCAACAACCCUUUUUUUAAAAACGCCUUUCCUUUCUUCAGACGGGCUCCUGAUUUCAACCAAUAAAUCGUCAUUCUGUUCUUCAGGGGGAUCCUGACUUCAACCGAUAAAUCGCCAUUCUAUUCUUCAGGGGGGCUCCUGACUUCAACCAAUAAAUCGCCAUUCUAUUCUUCAGGGGGGCUCCUGACUUCAACCAAUAAAUCGCCAUUCUGUUCUUCAGGGGGGCUCCUGACUUCAACAACUUUUCAAAAAUGCCAUUCCUUUCUUUGGAUGGCGAGAUUUCAACAACCCUUUUUUUUAAAACGCCUUUCCUUUCUUCAGGCAGGCUCCUGACUUCCAUCAAUAAAUCGUCAUUCUAUUCUUCAGGGGGGCUCCUGACUUCAACCAACAAAUCUCCAUUCUAUUCUUCAGGGGGGCUCCUGACUUCAACAACUUUUCAAAAAAUGCCAUUCCUUUCUUUGGAUGGCGAGAUUUCAACAACCCUUUUUUAAAAACGCCUUUCCUUUCUUCAGGCAGGCUCCUGAUUUCAACCAAU
rnacentral:lncRNA from 1 species